rnacentral:rRNA from 1 species
AACGAACGCUGGCGGCAUGCCUAACACAUGCAAGUCGAACGAGACCUUCGGGACUUGUGUCGUCCGGGUGCGUAACGCGUGGGAACCUGCCCUUAGGUUCGGAAUACCUCUCCGAAAGGGGUGCUAACACCGGAUAAUGUCUUCGAACGAAUGAUUUAUCGCCUCUGGAUGGGCCAGAGUUGGAUUAGCUUGUUGGAAGGGUAAAAGCCUACCAAGGCGACGAUCCAAACCUGGUCGGGGGGGAUGAUCAGCACACCGGGAAUGGGACACCGCCCAGACUCCUACGGAAGGCAACAGUGGGGGAUAUUGGACAAUGGGCGAAGGCCUGAUCCAGCAAUGCCGCGUGAGUGAUGAAGGCCUUAGGGUUGUAAAGCUCUAUUACCCAUGAUGAUAAUGACAGUACCGGGAGAAUAAGCUCCGGCUAACUCCGUG